rnacentral:rRNA from 1 species
UACAGAGGUCUCAAGCGUUGUUCGGAUUUACUGGGCGUACAGGGAGCGUAGGCGGUUGGGGUAAGCCCUCCGUGAAAUCUCCGGGCCUAACCCGGAAAGUGCGGAGGGGACUGCUCGGCUAGAGGAUGGGAGAGGAGCGCGGAAUUCCCGGUGUAGCGGUGAAAUGCGUAGAGAGUCGGGAGGAAGGCCGGGUGGCGAAGGCGGGCGCUCUGGAACAUUUCUGACGCUG